rnacentral:snRNA from 1 species
GCGCUCGCUUCGGCAGCACAUAUACUAAAAUUGGAACGAUACAGAGAAGAUUAGCAUGGCCCCUGGGCAAGGAUGACACACAAAUUAGUGAAGCGUUCCAUAUUAAA